rnacentral:rRNA from 1 species
GACGAACCGUGCGAACGUUAUUCGGAAUCACUGGGCUUAAAGCGCGUGUAGGCGGGUCGGUGCGUCGGCCGCUGAAAUCCCCCGGCUCAACCGGGGAAGGGGCGCCGAUACGACCGGCCUGGAGCGACGUAGGGGGAACUGGAACUUCCGGUGGAGCGGUGAAAUGCGUUGAUAUCAGAAGGAACGCCGGUGGCGAAAGCGACGGACUGGACCUCUUCUGACGCUGAGGCGCGAAAGCUAGGGGAGCAAACGGGG